rnacentral:rRNA from 1 species
UACGGGGGGAGCAAGCGUUGUUCGGAUUUACUGGGCGUAAAGCGUGCGCAGGCGGCUUUGCAAGACAGAUGUGAAAUCCCCGGGCUUAACCUGGGAACUGCAUUUGUGACUGCAUGGCUGGAGUGCGGCAGAGGGGGAUGGAAUUCCGCGUGUAGCAGUGAAAUGCGUAGAUAUGCGGAGGAACACCGAUGGCGAAGGCAAUCCCCUGGGCCUGCACUGACGCUCAUGCACGAAAGCGUGGGGAGCAAACAGG